CCUACGGGAGGCAGCAGUGAGGAAUAUUGGUCAAUGGACGAGAGUCUGAACCAGCCAAGUAGCGUGAAGGAUGACGGCCCUAUGGGUUGUAAACUUCUUUUAUAUGGGAAUAAAAUGUUCCAAGUGUGGGAUUUUGUAUGUACCAUAUGAAUCAGCAUCGGCUAACUCCGUGCCAGCAGCCGCGGUAAUACGGAGGAUCCGAGCGUUAUCCGGAUUUAUUGGGUUUAAAGGGAGCGUAGGUGGAUUGUUAAGUCAGUUGUGAAAGUUUGCGGCUCAACCGUAAAAUGGCAGUUGAAAAUGGUAGUCUUGAGUGCAGUAGAGGUGGGCGGAAUGCGUGGUGUAGCGGUGAAAUGCUUAGAUAUCACGAAGAACUCCGAUUGCGAAGGCAGCUCACUGGACUGCAACUGACACUGAGGCUCGAAAGUGUGGGUAUCAAACAGGAUUAGAUACCCCUGUAGUC
rnacentral:rRNA from 1 species